rnacentral:lncRNA from 1 species
CAAACUCGAACCUUCAAGAGUAUCGCACUCUUGAAAUAAAAUAGUGGAAUGACACCAGUACAAUAUUUUUCUCAUAUGUAAUUUUCACUCACAAGGCACUGAGCCAACUUUAGUGAAAGAAAAUAUUUAAUAGAAAAAGUUUGAAUUCUUGUGUGAUUUCUAAUGAAGAUAGCUUCCUUUAUACAAUAGAAAAUGAAACUAAAAAAGGAAACAACCCAUGGUCUAAAUGAAUACCAUAAUCGAUUAGACUAAUCAAUUAUUGACCUUCAAUAAUCGAUUAUUCAAACCACAAAUGGAAGAUUUUGAUAUUUAGUUGUUACCAAUCAUUAAGAGUUUGUCUCAAUCAAGUUUAGACUCAACUUAACAAAAAUAAUUGAUUAGGACAUUAGGUAUAGUUGAUUAUUUAGUUUUAAAAAGUCUUAUAGUCAAUCAUACAUUCCCAUUAAUAAGUUAAGUAGGCCCUAAAAAAUAUUUUUUUGUGAUUUUAUCAAAUAGAUAUAGGCCUUAAAAAUAUUUUAGGUGUGUGUAAGUUGCCUUAGUAUCUUAGGAGUUAGUCUCCUACUUUCCUAAGACUAUGGUCACUCAUACAAACAUGACCAGACGAACUUUCACACUUCCUCUCUUUCAUAACUCUAAAGCACUCAAGUUCUUUUGCUAGAUAUGCACUUCAUUAGAACCUUAAACCUUCUACUUAAUGAGGCUUGAGAUAUCUUCAAGUUAAUCACCAUCAUCAAGCUAUUGGAAGGAUAUCACCACCAACUUCAACCAAUAUUAAUGUUAUCAUCGUCAAAACACUAUGAAGGUCACAAACAUCAUGAUCAUUAAAUUUAUACUUGUAAGCACGUAGAUCCAUAUUAUCCCCCUUUUGAUUAUUACAACGUAUCUCUCAAAGAGGUGAUAAAAGAUAAAAACAUAUAGAUAAAGUUUAGAAUGGUUAAACUCCUUUUCACAUAAGUAAACUCUUAGAGUAUAAUUGAUAACGCAUAUCUCUGGGAGGUGGUAAAAGAGAAAAUAGAUAGAUAAAGUUUGGAGUGGUUAAACUUUCCCUCACAUGAGUAGAGAGUAUACUUUACUUCCCUAGAAGUAUAAUUAUCCCCCUUUGGCGCAACCAAAAAGGCAAGAAAAUAACCAUAUUACAUAGAUCACAUAUAAUCAUUUUGAGAAAGAGAGGAAGAAAAGGAGAGGAAACAAAUUAGCAUAUUAUUCCAUGCAUGUUUGGUUUAAGAUUCCUAAUUCAGCUCUUAUGAAAAAUAAUCUAUCCUUGGGAAGUGGUUUUGUAAAAAUGUAUGUGAUUUGACUAGAUGAGGUUACAAACUCAAGUAUGAAUUCCCUUUUUUCAAUAUGAUGCCUAAUAAAGUGGUUUGUGGCGCUAGUGUUGUAGCAUAUUAUCGAAACAACUCUAAGAUUAACAUUGCAAUCACUGAGUUGUUGUUUCAUCCAUAUAAUUUGUGUGUAAUAACUACCUGCAAUAACCUAUUAUGCCUCAAUUGUGGAUAGUGUGACACUUGCUUGUUUCUUGCUAUGUCGGGAGACAAGAGAGAUCCCAAGUAAGUGACAUGUAUCCCUGGUAAUUUUCCUAUGCAAUUUACACCCAACAAAAUCAGAAUUUAGGUACCAAACUUAGUCAUAAUCAUAUCCCUCGGGGUACAAUAAACUCAUUUGUUGUGUGCCAUGAGAUAUCUUAUGAUGCAUUUUACCACACUGAGAUGUGGUUCUUUUAGAGAUUCUUGAAAACAAGCACAAAGACACAUAAUAAACAUGAUAUCAAGAUGGGAUUUGAUCAUACAUCAGUAUUUUCUUUUCUCUACUAGUUUUUCAUUCAUGUACUUGUCCAGGUUGCACGAGGUUGCCUUUGGAUUGUUAUUGCUUUGGACUUCUCCAUUCCAAACCUCUUUGGUAGCUAUUUGCAAUACUUGGCUUGAUUGAUCAAGAAUCCUUCCCUAGCUCGGUGAAUUUUAAGCCCUGGGAAGUAUCAAAGUUCCCCUGUCAUUGGAAUUUAGAACUAGUUUUGCAUCAUUUUAGAAACAUCAUUGCACAAGGAUUUAUUAGUAGCACCGAAGAUGAUAUCAUCAACAUAACUAGUAAAAUGUAAUGCUCAGUUUUCUUGAUAAACAGAGCUUUAUCAACUUGUCCUUUUUGAAGCUUAUUUUCAAGCAAGAAUUUUCCUAGAUGAUCAGGAAAAGUUGAGUUGAUAAAACUCAGAGGUUGGUUAACAAAUACCUUUUUUAUGGAUGUAUCCAUCUAAGAAAGCAAUCUUUCGUCCAUUUGAAAAAGUUUGAAAUUCAUGAUGCAGGAAAAAGCUAAUAACAUCUUUAUAGCCUCUAAUCUAUCUAUAGGGGAAUAAAUUUCAUUAAAAUUUAUGUCUUCCUUUUGAUCGUAUCCCUUCGUAAAAAGUAUGGCUUUGUUUCUUAAAAUGUUUCCAUUUAGUCUAGAAGAUUGCGAUUGAACCAACGGGUACCAAUCACUCGAUUAACUGAAGCUUUGGUAACGAGUUCCCAAACAUUAUUUUGUUCAAAAUUAUUUAGCUCCUCUUGAAUGGAAAAAUACCAAUGUUCAUAAAUAACAGCUUCAUAAAUUCAUUUGUCUCAAUUUGUAAACAAAGGCCAUAAAGUUGCAUACAUUGUUAAGGGAGUGUCGAGUGUAACACCCCGAAAUUUGAUUAAUUUAAUUAUUUGUGUAUGUGGUGUAUGGUAGGUGUAGUGAGAGUAUUAGUGAUUUGAUAGAAUGAUUAAAAUAAUUAGAAAUAAUUAGAAUUAAUGAUUGCUUUACAAUAAAAUAUAAAUAGAGGUUUUGGAUGGAAAGAGGAACUAAUGAGAAAUAACGGAAGUGGUGAAAUUACAAGAAAAGUUGGGUCAGGAUGUAAUUAACGAAAUAUUAAAUUAGAUUUUUACAAAUAAAAAAGGGUUAAUGGAGCUUUUAAUGGAGAAUACAUAAAAUGAGAGCUUUUGGAUAAACAUGAGGUUAGGGCUUGGAGAGGGAAGAAUUCAAACCACCAAUCUUAAUCAAUUCAGGAUUGCUGCUAGGAAUCUGAAUUGAGGGGGAAGUGCUUCUAUAUUGGUGUUUUACAUGAAAGGGUAGAAGAAAUACCCUUACUCUCUUUAGAAAUUGAGUGAUAACUAUUAUGAAUUAGUGUUAUGGUAUGAUAAUCUGAAAAUUGAUGAUUUAAUGUGUUAUUAUCUAAUUUUCGUGACUAAAUUCAUAAGUGUGAAAUUAUGUUUUAUGUUUAUAUGAUGUAUGCCAUUGUUGAAGUUUUGAAGGUUUGAAACCUAAAUGUGAAUUUCAUGAAAUUGAAGAAUAAAAGUGUGUAAAUCUGUAAUUUAGCAUGUUAUAAUGAUGAUAUUAUAUAUAGUGUAUUUUUUGGACGUCUUAUGAUGGUUGAGAAGCCAAUAUUGGAGUUUCAAGGGAACUUUCAUGGCUAAAUUCAUGUUUCUGCAAACUGGUGCAUGGUGAUGGGCGUCACCCAGAUGACAGGUUGAUCGUCACGCAUCUUGAGACGUUGGCGGACGUCAGCGUUAUGAUAGGGAGAUCAUCAUGGUCUCUAGGCCUGGUUUUUCAAGUCGGUCGUCAUAAGAAUGACAGGUUGGGAGUUUUAACAGGAUGACGGGCGUCACCCUGGUGACAGACUACCCACCAUGGUGUCGAAAAGGGCAUUUUGUCCCUAUUUAUGUAGUUCAAGCUGUCAAUUCGAAAUUUCAAUGUUAUUUUGCAGUUUGGUCGAUAAUUGGCUACUGUUUGGCUGUGUUGGUGUUGUUAAUUAAUUAUUAUGAGCUUAAUUGAUUGUGGUGGAAUUAUAAUUGUUGAGCUUAAUCCUCUUCUAUCUUGAAUGCCCGAAAAAUUGUCGCCCUUCAUACAUUCAGGUCCAAGAUGAUUAAAUAUGGGGCAACUGCUGUCAUACCCCAAUUUUGUCUGGGCAUAUCUAAAUUUUCACAGAAUCGAUUUCAUUUUAUCUUUGCAUCAUAUACAUACCAUUACAUACAUUGCAUCAUGAAUAAAUGCCUGAAAUGUCAGUCGGAACGAAUUUAUUUGAGGAUACAGACAAACCGGUCAAAUCGUUAAAAUUUGAGGAAGCAAUGUAUUUUUCAAAUAUUGAGUUUUGUCCUGACAAUUUUAGUGUGACCGGUUUAAUUUUCCGAAUAAAAUUUGCACUCAAUUUCUAUUUUCUAAUUGGUCAAUAAUCUUUGGUUUAAUUAUUUAAUAAAAAAAUUAAAAUUUGUUUGAAUUAAGUAUUAAUUAGAAUUUGUUUUAUAAUUCCAUUUCUUUUAAAAAAAUAAUGAUUUUAAAUAAUGAGUGUGAAAAAUAUAUUUAUUUUUUACAUUGGAUCCCUCUAUUAUUCCUCUCUCUUUCAAACGGUUACAAGGAAAAUCUGAAAAAAAAAUCUCAAUCUUCACACAUUUCUCUCUCUCCCACGCGUCACAUUCUCUCUUAUUCUCUAUCCCCACUCAGUAACCACUCCCCAACGUCUCUUUCCACUACUAAUAAUCUCACAGAACCUCACUCAUAAAUCUCUCUACUCCCUCAUUCACUAUUCACUCCGUCUCUCUCGCCCCUCACACAAACCCUUAACUCUUGUCGCCGUCACACUCUCAACAACCCCUUCACCGUGAAAACCGUCCACAAUCGCUUUCACCGCCACCUCAAAUCGUGACCUCACCGACAAAACCCUCCGACGAAACCUAAAUCACGAAACCCCAAACCUCCGCCAUCUACACGAAACCCUCUUCAUCAACUACCAUUCGCCGGCGAAAUCUCCAUCAAAACCCACUACCGACGCGUACUCUCCCUCAUUUCAUAGCAUCCGAGAUCUAACAACCAUAAGGUUACUCGCUUUCAGCUCCUUCACCCUUCGUCAGCCGCGAGACCCACGCCUCGCAAACCCCACAUCUCUGUCGCAAAUGCCAUUUCGACUUUAAAGCUGUGACUCCCUUCACCGGCUAAAUCCGACAACAUCAACGGUUUGGUCAUCACUGUGUAAUGGCAAUCCUAGUUCGCAUUUAAGCAAUAGCUAGCACAACAGCAACAUCGGUUUGUCAUUGCGGUAACAUUUCAGUUCCUGUUUUGCUUCUGUAUUUGACAUAGUAUAAGGCUGUUGCUGUUACCAUUUCUGUUUGGUGUGCGUAAUAAAUUUGGAGUUUCUGCAGUAUUACAUUAUUCAUUACCAAGAUCAUAUGUUUGCGGUUUGUUUUGUGUCAUGACGUUUUGCCUUCUAGCUCGGGUAGUUAAAAUUACAAAUUAUAUAAACGAGUUGUGCUACUUUAUUUCACAAUCUGAUCUAUGUAAAUAUUAUAGAGGAUGUUUAUGUAUGAUUAUUGUUGUUGUUUUAUUAUUUCAAUGUGUUAAGAUUUUGGUUUCAACAUCAAUUUCAUGCCGAUUAUGCCGCUGUUUCUGCAUACGAAGCUAUGUAGUGAGUUUGUUUGUUGCCGGUUGUGUACAACAACGAGAAUCGUAAGAAACCGUGAAAAAUGAGCUUAAAAAACUCACAAAUGCAUCAUGACAAAAGUUAGGACAUAUAGUGAUUAUUUUUCUGUGAGUUUGUUUUUUUUAGAAAUUAAAUGUCUUAUGCAUCGACAUUUAGCAGCAAAUGUUUGUUUUAAUUUGGGAAAUUAAUAAGCUGCAUUCUCUGUUUUUUAGAAGUAUAUGUAUAAGCCUUAGUUAAAUCCAACUUCAUUUUUGUUUGUAAGUAUAUUUUGAUUAAUCAUGUGGGACAAUUGUGGUGGUAUAUUUGAAUACAAAAAUAAAUAGGCCCAUUAAUUUUGAUACUCCCUGUAAAUUAGCCAACAUAGUAAAUAAAACUUAUGAUGAGCUGCUUAAUUUUCAUU